AUUGAACGAUGGCGGCAGGCCUAACACAUGCAAGUCGAACGGUAACAGGAAGAAGCUUGCUUCUUUGCUGACGAGUGGCGGACGGGUGAGUAAUGUCUGGGAAACUGCCUGAUGGAGGGGGAUAACUACUGGAAACGGUAGCUAAUACCGCAUAACGUCGCAAGACCAAAAAGGGGGACCUUCGGGCCUCUUGCCAUCGGAUGUGCCCAGAUGGGAUUAGCUAGUAGGUGGGGUAACGGCUCACCUAGGCGACGAUCCCUAGCUGGUCUGAGAGGAUGACCAGCCACACUGGAACUGAGACACGGUCCAGACUCCUACGGGAGGCAGCAGUGGGGAAUAUUGCACAAUGGGCGCAAGCCUGAUGCAGCCAUGCCGCGUGUAUGAAGAAGGCCUUCGGGUUGUAAAGUACUUUCAGCGGGGAGGAAGGGAGUAAAGUUAAUACCUUUGCUCAUUGACGUUACCCGCAGAAGAAGCACCGGCUAACUCCGUG
rnacentral:rRNA from 1 species